rnacentral:rRNA from 1 species
UGAGGGAUAUUGGUCAAUGGGCGCAAGCCUGAACCAGCGACGCCGCGUGGGUGAAGAAGGUCUUCGGAUCGUAAAGCCCUUUUCCCACUGAAGAGGAAGGACGGUAGGUGGGGAAGAAGUCUCGGCUAACUACGUGCCAGCAGCCGCGGUAAAACGUAGGGGGCAAGCGUUGUCCGGAUUUACUGGGUGUAAAGGGUGCUCAGGCGGAUUUGUAAGUCAGAGGUGAAAUCUUACAGCUUAACUGUGAAACUGCCUUUGAUACUGCAAGCCUAGAGGAUGGAAGAGAGUGAUGGAAUAUCUGGUGUAGCAGUGAAAUGCGUAGAUAUCAGAUAGAACACCGAUGGCGAAGGCAGUCACUUGGUCCAUUACUGACGCUAAAGCACGAAAGCGUGGGUAGCAAACA